rnacentral:rRNA from 1 species
AAUUUUGGACAAUGGGGGAAACCCUGAUCCAGCCAUCCCGCGUGUAUGAUGAAGGCCUUCGGGUUGUAAUGUACUUUUGGCAGAGAAGAAAAGGUACCUCCUAAUACGAGGUACUGCUGACGGCAUCAGCAGCAUAAGCACCGGCUACCUACGUGCUAGCAGCCGCGGUAAUACGUAGGGUGCAAGCGUUAAUCGGAAUUACUGGGCGUAAAGCGUGUGUAGGCGGUUCGGAAAGAAAGAUGUGAAAUCCCAGGGCCCAACCUUGGAACUGCAUUUUUAACUGCCGAGCUAGAGUAUGUCAGAGGGGGGUAGAAUUCCACGUGUAGCAGUGAAAUGCGUAGAUAUGUGGAGGAAUACCGAUGGCGAAGGCAACCCCCUGGGAUAAUACUGACGCUCAGACACGAAAGCGUGGGGAGCAAACAG